GAAUUGUGUAGAGAUGGAUAUGUGGUGCCUCCGAGCCAGACUCAACGUGCUACCCUUCCCAGCCAAAAAAAAGAAAAUCCAAAUUCUUGUUCUCCUCCCGUUCCUUUUUCACUGUUCCUUGCCUGAUCCAUAGAUUCAUCCACAUUCGUUGCUAGAUCCUGCCAAGGGAAGAGGACAGAGUGAGAAGGGGGAUUUGCGGCGGAGUGCGGUGGCUGCAUGCUCUCGGCGACGGCAGGUCCUGCAGCUCGACCACACGUGCCUGCUGCUCGCCGCCGCUGUCAGUUGGAUGGCCGUGGAGUUCGGCCCCUUUGAACCUGAGCGGUUCCUCUCCUCCAGAUUUUCUAUGGCUAUGAGAAAUUUGUUCGUCCAUGUGAAAGCGAGUGGCAGCACCAAAUCCAUCCACUGGCCUGCUCGUGCAUCACUAAAGCUGGGAAGGAGAUGCUCUUGAGGCCAGAUCGGACCGAGGCUGGGGCACGCGUUCUAGCCUCAGAUUUUGCGCCCCUAGCAGCGAGGUCGUGAGGCAAAGUGGUCGCAUUGGAGGUCAAUGGAGAAUAUGAUAAAUCCGUUUUGCUGAGUGGCGAUGCUCUCCUGUUUGUGCCACUGGGCCGAGAGCUGUGCCGUCGGGUUUGAUAGCCAUGUUCUUCAUAGUGGUCCUCGUCGUCUAUGGCAGAGUAGUAGGGAUGGAGAGUCCACGGGUGGAGGCAUGUUGUGGGCUUGCUACUUCUGUCAGCUUCCACCUAUGUAAUGUGCUACAACUUUGCAUCAUUACUACUUGCUGCACACCGGCUGAUUCGUCACAGACAGUCCUACAUGCCUUGAUCGACCUGUAUAUGACACAACUCCAAGAUAGCACGAUAGCAUUCUUCUUGCUUUGCGACAUGAUUCUUGUCAAGUGUUUCCUAUGGACAGGAACAUGAUGAUGAGACGCGACUGGUUGCUGCUCGGGAGGCGGAAUCUCCAACACCUAACCGAUUGAGGUGAAGAUCUUGUGGAGAGUGGACACAGAAGGCAUGGCUUCGAGGUUUCAGUGGCGCUGUAGGAUGUGAGCUGCAGCCACACAUGUUAGGAUGAAUAGUGCGGCCUUAGAGUAGACCAUCAGAAACCCUAGAACUGGGCUGCUCGAGAGGCAUAGUUUUGGGGUUUCGGUGGAUCUAUAGGAGGUGAGCUGCAGUUGCACAGGAGGAAUAGCUCGGCCCUAGGGCAGACCAUCAGAAACCCUAAAACCUGGACUGCUCUAGAGGCAUAUGGCUUUGAGGUUUCGGUAGAGCUGUAGGACGUGAAUCAGAAUCAGCUUCUAGAGCGUACAUCUCUUUUGUAUGCAACGUGUCAGGAUUUUUUUUACCAUAUUGAUGCCCGUACGUGAACCUUUUUUUGAAGUGGCAUGUACGUCAACCUAACUCUUCCUACCUUUUUUUACGUGCUGACGCUUCCUUGCCUA